rfam:Ornithorhynchus anatinus chromosome 7, whole genome shotgun sequence.
CCCCUCUAAGGGUCACACCUGGAGAGUUUCCAGUGCUCUACCAGUCUCGGCGACAGGAGGGAGAGUCAAGCAGAGGCUUACCAAUUCCAUUCCUAGCUUGGCUAGCAGCUAGCGAGUAGAAGGUAAUCUGCUACGAGU